GGUCCUAUGGUGUAACGGUUAGCACUUUGGACUCUGAAUCCAACAAUCCGAGUUCGAAUCUCGGUAGGACCU
rnacentral:tRNA from 2 species